GACGAACGCUGGCGGCGUGCUUAACACAUGCCAGUCGAACGGUGAAGCGCCUUCCUUUUUGGUGGGUGUGGAUGAGUGGCGAACGGGUGAGUAACACGUGAGUAACCUGCCCCCUUCUUCUGGAUAACCGCAUGAAAGUGUGGCUAAUACGGGAUAUUCUGGGUCUGUCGCAUGAUGGGUCUGGGAAAGAUAUUGUUUCGGUGGGGGAUGGGCUCGCGGCCUAUCAGCUUGUUGGUGGGGUGAUGGCCUACCAAGGCGGUGACGGGUAGCCGGCCUGAGAGGGUGGACGGUCACACUGGGACUGAGACACGGCCCAGACUCCUACGGGAGGCAGCAGUGGGGAAUAUGGCACAAUGGGCGCAAGCCUGAUGCAGCGACGCCGCGUGAGGGAUGGAGGCCUGCGGGUUGUGAACCUCUUUCGCCAGUGAAGCAGGCCUGCCUCGUUUGUGGGUGGGUUGACGGUAGCUGGAUAAGAAGCGCCGGCUAACUACGUG
rnacentral:rRNA from 1 species